GGGCUUCAAAAUCACCAGGCAGUCUGUGGAGGUCCAUUCCAAGUUGGAAAGCUGUGUCAACAAACAAGUACCCAUCUGCUGGGCAUUUCAUGUCCAAUCAGUAAAGCCUUGUGGUUGUCUUGGAGGGCUCGUCAGAUUCGCAUCAGCCUCCUCUGUUGAAACACUCGAGAUACCACAAAAGAGAAGUAUAGGUCAACUGUCAAGCAGUGUGAAAAGGCAAUGGUCAUCCAGUCCUCAAGAGAUGGAAAACGGUGUUGGAAAUUCACAUUCCCAUGAAUCACAUCAAUUGAUUGGUUCCGCUGUUGUCAACAAAGAAACAAAGAUGAUAGAGAAAAAUGUGAACAUGUCCAUUUGUUGACCAAGUUUUCCAGUGGCUAUGGCCAUGACAUCAGACGCAAGGGAAGAAGAACCAAUCUGAUGCAGAGAACCCUCGACAAGUGACAUCUGCACCCACAGGUGAGAAGUUUCUGCACAACAUUUGUUACGUUCAUUGCACGUGCUGG